UACGAAGGGGGGCUAGCGUUGCUCGGAAUCACUGGGCGUAAAGGGCGCGUAGGCGGCCAUUCAAGUCGGGGGUGAAAGCCUGUGGCUCAACCACAGAAUUGCCUUCGAUACUGUUUGGCUUGAGUAUGGUAGAGGUUGGUGGAACUGCGAGUGUAGAGGUGAAAUUCGUAGAUAUCGAGAGGAACACCGGCGGCGAAGGCGGCCAACUGGACCAACACUGACGCUGAGA
rnacentral:rRNA from 1 species